CCUACGGGGAGCAGCAGUCGAGAAUCUUUCACAAUGGGGGAAACCCUGAUGGUGCGACGCCGCGUGGGGGAAUGAAGGUCUUCGGAUUGUAAACUCCUGUCAUGUGGGAGCAAAUUAGAAAGAUAGUACUACAAGAGGAAGAGACGGCUAACUCCGUGCCAGCAGCCGCGGUAAUACAGAGGUCUCAAGCGUUGUUCGGAAUCACUGGGCGUAAAGCGUGCGUAGGCUGUUUCGUAAGUCGUGUGUGAAAGGCGCGGGCUCAACCCGCGGACGGCACAUGAUACUGCGAGACUAGAGUAAUGGAGGGGGAAGCGGAAUGCACGGUGUAGCAGUGAAAUGCUUAGAUAU
rnacentral:rRNA from 1 species